GUCACGCGCUGCCUCGGCUUCAGCUACGCAGGCGGUGUGUGCCAGCUGAUGAGCAACAUCACAACCAUCGUGGCGGCGUCUGGUUGGGUCUCCUACGCUGUCACUCAACCAUUUAACCCAAGUCUUCUGGAUCCUUGUGCCAGUAUCCCGUGUCCAGCCAACAAAGUGUGCGUGCGUUACUCUCCUCCAGCCAUGUUGCCGUACCAGCCCCAGGCCA